rnacentral:rRNA from 1 species
GAUGAACGCUGGCGGCGCGCCUAACACAUGCAAGUCGAACGAUUAAAGCACCUUCGGGUGUGUAUAAAGUGGCGAACGGCUGAGUAACACGUGGGCAACCUGCCCCUUUCAUUGGGAUAGCCACGGGAAACCGUGGAUAAUACCGAAUACUUCGAGCCUUCCGCAUGGAAGACUCGAGAAAGCUCCGGCGGAGAGGGAUGGGCCCGCGGCCUGUUAGCUUGUUGGUGGGGUAACGGCCUACCAAGGCAAUGAUGGGUAGCUGGGUUGAGAGACCGACCAGCCAGAUUGGGACUGAGACACGGCCCAGACUCCUACGGGAGGCAGCAGUGGGGAAUCUUGCACAAUGGGCGAAAGCCUGAUGCAGCGACGCCGCGUGCGGGAUGAAGGCCUUCGGGUUGUAAACCGCUUUCAGCAGGGACGAGGCGAAAGUGACGGUACCUGCAGAAGAAGCCCCGGCUAACUACGUG